CAAAGGAAGAACAAGGAGAAGGGAGGGUAGGAGAUAAAAGAGAAAUCCUAUGGGCAAGUGAGGCUCUACUUCUAAGAGAAAAUGGAGUAGCUCCAAUCAGAUAAUAACAAAGCUAAACCACAGACACCCAUGGGAUGGUUCAAAGAAUUAAUAUGUCUUAAUUCCACUGUAAAUUGCAAGCCAGCUGCAAAACCUGUUGUCAUGAGAAGACCCUGCUAAAAGGAUCGGUGCUUUGUGCUCCCUGGAUGGUCUCUGCCUUUCUUGAAGCUUAGGUUUUGAGUCAGUGGGCUUUAUUGGAGUUGGUCUGUGACCUGGUGGUGAAGGUGUGCUCCCAGGUCACCACAACUCACCCUUUCCUAUAAGAGCACCUUGCAGGUGACACAGCAUGGCCUCUCCCUCAAUGCUGCAGAUGAACAAGCUUGACCCAAUCUUUAUGGGCAGCAGAGCCACUCCCUGAAAUAUACAUUACAGAAAAUGCAUGCUAGAGCACCACACCAGCCAGCAGCAAGCAAACCCUUUAGAGCAAUCUUGAAAAUGACUUUGUCUGGAAUCACAACCACAAUGUCCAUAAGAACCAAAAGGCAACUGCAGCUGAAUCCAGUUACCCUUCAGAGAUCAUUCACCUGCUCAAGCAUUGCUCAGCAGUGCUGAAUUUCUCUAGGAAGUCAUUACACACUGCCAUCCAUGGGGAUUACAGUGACAGAAGGCUCAUUUGAGGUCUUGUGUCCUGAUUCAGCAAGUGACAUCAGCAGGGGAGUAUUUCCCACUGCUGCAGCCGCCAAAGAACACAACGCCUGGAAUGGAGGCUCAGGGGGAAGGAGGAAACAUGACAGUGCCAAUUUCCUGCUGGCAGAGCAGUUCCUCCAGGAGCUGAUGUGCUGCAAAGUGCUGCUUUGCCACCUACCUUCAGCUGGCAGUCUUCAUUCACAGCCAGGUUACUUGGCUUCAGGUCCUACAACAGACAGGAGCAGAAAAAUUGGAUGUUUCAAGCUGCAAUGCAUCAAUACAACUCUCAAUUGAACCUCUGCUUGCCUUUGAUGGGGUCGCAUAACACCCCAGGUUCAGUAUCAAUUCAGCAAAUGACUGAGUAAACACCAUGCCUGCUAUACUGAGCAGCAUUAGAUUACUACUUUAUUCUUUUCUGAAACAGUUUUAAUUCAAAAAGCAUCAUAAAAUGCUUCUCAGCUCAUCAGAAGACACAGCAUUUUCUCAAAAUGCUGCACAAAUUAGCAAAUCCAAACAUAUAGGGGAUGUAGGAUGGAAAAUAGAGCAGACAGGAUGGAAAAUAGAGCAGACAAUGCUAUUAGUGAAAUGAUGGCUAGGAAUUUAUUAACUUUAUGACUAUGCUGUGUUUCUCAGACAAAAAUCAGAAUAAAAACACACAUGAACUUACCCUGUGGACAAUGCCAGCUGAAUGAAUAUACUGCAAUAAAAAGAGGAGCCACAAUGUGAUCACCAGCAGACAAAAUUUUCUGUUCUCCAGCAGAGAAAUGAGAGCUACAAACAAGAACUUGCUGAGAACAAGCCUCUGCAGCCUUCUACAGGUCCCUGGUCCCUAGGGCAGCAGUUGGAAAGAGAAAUUUCUGCCCCAAAUUACCGUCAGUAUUUACAAUGAUAUUGCCAGUCUAAAGAAGAUGCAUAGAGGAGAAGAGGGAUGAAGCAAUAGCUCCUCAGAGCAAGUGCAACAGCUUCUAACUAUCAAAGUCAUCAAGGUUACAGCAGAUGACAUGAGAACAUGGUUGUUUUGGGUGUUCAAAAAAAUAAUCUCGGCCCAAAACCAUAAAAUUGCAAAACUGACUUCAGGGUUUUUAGCAUACCAGUCAAACCUUCUGUGUGUUCUUCCCAUCUUCAUUUAAACACAAGGUAGCUGUGACUGGGGGAGAGGGGUGAUUGAGGUGAACCCAUUGAUGCCUGUAAGCCACUGCUGUGACUCCAGGUGAAGGAUGUGAGAGGACAGCUGGAAAGCUCUGUCUCUACAUCCCAGAGUUUGCAGGGAUUGCUUUCAGCUCCCUCAAAGCCAGUUACAGAAACAUGUUCCUUCCUUAUGCUCCUGAAUAGAAAAUCACUUCCUCUGUCUUCUCCCCUGAUGACGGGUUCAGAGGAGCUCCUGCUGCUGCCAGUCUCUCCCUCUCUGUGCAGAGUUUUGCUAAGGGUUUGGGCAAGAAGCAAGAUGGAAAAGCCAUCCCAAGGCCUGUGGCUGCUGAUUACUUUGAUACCCAACUGAUGAACUGCUCUGAGAACCUUCACAUGCUCGUCCUGCAGGCUGCUAACACUCAGCCAUCAGCCAAACCCCAAACCCAGGCACACACUGCUCAUCUGCAGUGAUGGGGAAGGAAAAAGGACUUGUCCAACAUGACCAUGAACGCAGAGGGAUAAUGCCAAAAAAAUUGAGAACAGCCAGAAUCAAGAGGAAAAGAAGGGCAGAUCUUUCAAAUUCUAAGUUUAAUUGCCCUGAGGCCUGAUGAACAAUGCUCCCAUUCUGAGUGCAGCCCCUCAGCUCAGCAGUCACACAGUGACGUGGAUCACCCUAGGUGUGAUGCAGCAUGGAAUGUAACACAUCCUCAUUGCACAGGUUGGUCUGUGCCUGCUGUGGUGUCCCAGCUGGGAGCAGGGGUGGGAUCUGUUUACGUGUUCUGGGUGUGUCAGCCAUGGGAGCUGAUGUGUGCUCUGGGUUCUCUGUGUUAUUUGGGGAUGCCUGGAUUCUAGUCUGGUCCCUUUGCGCCUCAGCCCUCUCUGUUAUGCUGCUGCUAAGACACAGCUGUCUUGGAAAGCAGUUAAGUCUACACAGAGCAAACAACUCCAGACUUACAAGUCCUGGAACCCAUGGUAGGAGGCAGUGGAGGUGAAGACAUCAAGCAGCCCAAUAACCUGAGGAAGGAGAGAAGCCCACAUGUAAAUCUGGAAAGCAUUUGCUGUGCACAUAGCACUUAUCAGCUCUCCACUGGCACAUACACGAGGGUGGACACAGAAAAUUCCAUCUGAGGAACCCAGGGACUCCUCACUGAUGCUGCAUAAAUGUUUUCCCUCUUACUAAUACCUGGGCUCACCCAUUACACACCUGCUCCAUCCUGGGCACAGCAAACAGGUCACAGGUAAGCCCUGAGACAGCCUGCACAUACCAAAUGUCAAUUAAAACACAGGUGAUGCCACCAAAAAGGACUUGCUCCCAGGUGGCAAGGAAACACCUCUUGUGUCAGCAGGAAGAGGAGAAAUGAGCACUCACAUUCUCAUGCUGCAUGUGCUUCAACAGCAUCAGCUCUCUGUAGGCUCUCUUGGCAAAGAUCUCUGACUGGAACGGGCGGCACAGCUUCUUGAUGGCCACUUUCUCCCCCGUCUUCUUGUCUAUGGCUGAACUGCAGCAGGCAAAUAAAAAACCAAUCUGAUGUCAGUAGUAUGUUUUAACAGAUUCUGCAAACCCAUGGGUCAUCUCCUAGAGAAGAGUUGAUUCCUGUGGAAGGACAGCAGAGGAAAGUCCUUUGAAGGGCUCAGUGGAGCUCUGCACACAGAGGUGUUACCCUGUGUGGCUUUGGCAGCCUGUGCUCUUUGAGGGAUGAGGUGGGACACCAAGAAAAGCAUGAAGGGCUCAUCUUUAUUCCCUUCAACCUGCAGAAAUGAGCUGGAGGUAACAGAGAUGAAAGAAAAGGGAAACACAAAUGCUUAAAGGUCAGAAUUAAUUCUAACUGCCUUCUCCUUCCCUAAUGCAUGAAGAUAAGGGAAUCAAGAUAUGGAAAUUUCUGCUUUGCCAUCUGCUUGGAGGUUGUUGUCCUUUAGGGCAGGCCAGCUGCCUUCACUGUAUUCUGGAACAAAGACAGUGGAUGUCACAUGUUGAAAACACUGCUGCAAUCAAUCCUGCUGUGUUCAGAAUCCUUGAUUACAUAUUCGCUUCUGUGUAAGAGCAGGUCUGGCUGAAAAUGAGACUAUUCUCUGAAGCUGAUGAAAACCUGGUACAGCAGCCAUUGCUGCAGCAUGCUGUGUUAUUCCUGCUGGCCACAUUGGCUGUUUGCAGCAAUUCCGUGACAGCUCCUCUCCCUCUGGAGGCUCCUUGCUCAGAUUGCCACGAGGGAAGGGAGGUCCUCAGACAGACAGCUGUAAUUCAGGGUUCUCAGUGGUGUUUUCCAGGGGUGUCUCAGCACCUCCUUGACCCCUCCCAAGAGGCAAACAGAUGACAAAAAAGGCUUUUCCUGCCAAAUCCCACUGCUUUGGAAAUCCCCAUCCCAUCUCCCACAGGAAGAGAAGAGCUGUAAAUCAUCAUGUUCAAUCCCAUGGCUUCCAGCUGCACCCUCCAGCCUUGCACUGACAAAUAUUGAGUCAGGAGAAGCAAAGGAAGUGCAGGAACAGCUACACCAGGCAGCUGAAGUGCUGAAGGUGCUGCAGGGUGUCCCUAGGAGGACUCCCAGUGAAGUUUUGUCUCCGUUCCAGGACUUCAACAGAUGUCAGCAGAGGGGACAGCACUGCGUAAAAUUCUUGGAGGAGCCAGGAAAAUAAGAAGAAGGACUCAGACCAGGGAGUCAAACUGCAGAAUCCAAGGCAGAUUUCCCAAUCUGAGGGCAUCCUCCCAGCUGCUGACCUACAGAGCAUCUAACCCCAGCACCCAACACAGGAGAGCUGCUGGUGGAGCUUCAGCCUGUACAACAAAGACAAUGCUGGUUACAGCCCUGCCAUAAUCACAGCCCAGAGCCGAACCAGUCGAUGCAGCGGGGAGAGCCCUGCUCUUCCCAGCACAGAUUUAGUGAACAGAUGCAGUCUGGGGUGACCUGGGGCAGGCAGAGCUGUGUCCCUGUCUGGGCUGGCAGAGAUCAUCAAGACCAGCACUGGAGGAGUCAGAAGAUUCUUCUUUCACACUUAACACUUAGCUGGAAGCCAAAUCACUACAGAUUCUGCAAAUUAAUACGGGCAGAAACAAACCUUUGCUGUUUCUCCUGAGUUACUUUCUCAGCUGCUCAGGAAGGUGUAAAAGCCACUGCUGCAAAACGCUGCAAUAGAAAUUUUCCCAGCAAUUCCCAGCAGAGGACAGCAAAUCCUAACUCCACAUUUUCUGCCUCAGCUUUGUACAGAAAUCAGCAUCGAGUUUUCCAUCUGAGCUCUGUCCAUUCAAAACGACCACGCACCCCUGGGCUGCUUCAACCUCCCUUCUUUAGAGCUCCAGAGCAGCCGAGAGUUUUACAGGGACCAGUACAGAUUUCUUUUGAUGUUUGUUUUAUUCGUCUGGGCAAGGAAACUUGAAAGGAUUUAUCUCUUCCUUUUUUUUUUUUUUUUUUGUGUGUGUGUCCCACCUUUAUUUUUCUUCCUGAUUUUCUUUGCGAUAAAAAUCAGAGAACACUGUACAAAUAAAAAUUAAAAGUCAAGUCUAAUCCUGCCUGAUUUUGCAGGACAUACUUAAGAAUCUAAGAAGCAUAAGUGCAUAUGGGCAGCCUCAGAUGAGUAAGUGGCUCUUUUUGGAAUUGGAAGCUGGAGGAAAAAGACAAAACCUGGACACCAGGGUUUUGGGAUUAGUGCCAGUAGCAGGCCAGACUUUGCCCAACACCUAUGAAAACGGACACACCUUUUUUUUUUUUUUAACUUAUUUUUAGCUCAGCGUGUUAUGAAAUAAGGGCUCUGUUCAGAUACUAUCAAUGGACUGUUUCAUAUUUAACCUUUCAGGGUUGCCCAUCUCUGGUUCGUCAGUGCAAACCCAGCAAUGUCUGCCUUGUGCUUGCUCUUGCUUCAGGCACUUUGCCUGGCUGAAUAAUUAACAGCAGUCCUGCUGCUCUCUUGCAGGCUGGCGUUUAUCAUCAGUCUUGAAGGAAGUCCCGGUCUGUUACUGAUCCUGGUUUACAAUCAUUUCUAUCCACUUUAUGAUUUCAAACUGGAAACUGUAUCAGGGUAGGGGUUGUAUUGUCCAGCUGCUUCAGCCGCCUGGGACUGAGCAGUGAGGACACCCUGUUCCAGCUCCCCCCUCUGUAAUCGCCAACAAAUCUCUUCCAGACACCCAGGUAUUCCCCUGCCUCCAGCCUGAGCUAGCAGAUACGAACCUUAACGCAAGCUCGAGUCCAAAGCAGCUCAAAAUCUGCCUGCCCACAAUGACAAGGUGACGCCCGGCUGCCCUGGCACCGCUGCCCUGCCCGCUCUGCCCACCCGGGCUGACCAUUUGCUUCGGGCCAGCGAGUCUCCAGCCGUGCGCUGGAGCAGGAGACAGACUGCUCCCAUCACACAUGCAAAUAUCCUUCCUUAAUGGAGGGGUGCUGCCAAGCACCUCCUCGUUUUCCCCCCGGCACGGAACUUCCAACACCCCCAGCCGGGGCGGUGCGAGCAGGACCCCACUCACCACACGGAGCCGUAGGCGCCGGAGCCCAGCGGGUGGAGGGAUGUGUAUCUCCUGGGCAGCUCCCAGAGCGUGUUGUUCACCUCCUGUCUGUAAAAGCCUCUUCUCCUUGCGAUGUUCAUCGCACGACGGGUGUGGGACAGCCACCCCCCCAGAGUAGUGGAGUACGCGAGGACUUCUAAGGUGAGAGCGUGACAGGGAGGCUUCCUGCGCUGGUAAAAAAAGGCUCUAGCGAGUUUCCUUCUCUGUUUUCAGCUGUUGCGAGCGUGAAGGGACAUGUCUUUGGGCCCUCCUCCCUCCGCCUCCACAUUGGCAGAGGUGAGGCAUCAGGUUUCCUGACACGCCUCGGUGUUGUACAGGUGCCUCUGGGCUCUGCUGCAGGAGGGGAGCAGGCAGCCCCGCUCGGGCACGCCUCUGGCAGCCGCUGUCAUCCACAGCUCCCGCUCUGCUGCUCCAUCAGCCGAGAAAUAUCCUCACGGGGCUCGGACAGGGGCUUAUGAAAUCCCUCCUCCAAACAAGGGGAUGAGUAAGGACUCGUCGAGCCGGGGAAUCCGAGGGAGAAGCCACAGACAGCAUCGCGUCAGACACGCAGGAGCAUCCUCUCAAAGCCGAUGGACAGCUCCAGGCUCGUGACAAAGGACACCACGGGGUCACAUCGAUGGCGAUUUUCUCCCGAGCCCGGCUGCCCAGCAGCGUGGGGAGGUGCUGAAAGUAGACUGAGGUUCUCCAAGUGACUGCUGCAAGGGUUGCAGGAGCAGCUGUAGAAUGGGAACAUCCCCGUGGUUCGUGCCCCAGGCUUUGCUGCGGUUUCAUCUCCCGCAGCAGCUCUCAGCCCUUCCUGGCUCCUCUGGGACAAAGCAAAGUGUUCACUGCCAUGUCUGUGACCAACCAGCCCAGCACCCCAGCCCACUGGACCAUUCCUGGUAAGCAGAGAGCACCUCAACAUUUCUCUCCAGCAUGAGGAGGCUCAGGUCGGGCUCCCACACAGGAGGUGCAUCCUCCCCACUCCCCAAAGGAAGUGACUAAGCCAAGCCUUACCAAGCCAGCCUAGCUGCUUGCACAGUGUUCUACCCCAGCAGCCCUCCACCCUGCCCUGAGCCUCUGCUCUUUCCAUACAGGUCACCUGCAAAAAAGUGUCCCUACAGGAAAAGCACAAUCAGGGGGAUGGGGAAAAUUCACUGUGCCUGCUUUAUGUGCAACCACUGCACUGGCCCUUAUGCUUUUCAAACAGCCCCAGAGCCUGCUGUUCAUGAACACAGAGAGGGACAAGACACCAUGGCAGUAUCUGUGUAAUCAGCCCUGGCUGCAGCAGCAGCACAGCCUGGAAAUAAUCCACGGCUUGGCUGGGUCUAUAAAUACACCUGUGAGCAAGAGGUGUCACAGCAAAACCUCCUGGUCCUUAAGCAAACAUGUAACUCCUGGGUUAUUUGAUGAACACAGCCCUCCCUCAGCUGCUGGUGCACAUGCAGGCAAUCAGCACCCAAUUAGGGAGUCCUGAAUAGCUGGGGCAUGUCUGGGCUCUGCUGAGAUGAAUUAACUCUGUGACCAAAUCAAACACGAAACUUUAGAACUGUGGAAAAAUAGACAAGAAGCCCCACGGCAGCAGAGUCAGCCACCUGCCACCUUGUCCCCUCCCAGCCACCACACCCAGGAUCCCCCACAGCACAGCAGAGAAAUUCACACCACGCUAAGACUCAACACUUCAGUCCAAGAGGUUUCCAAGUACCAGCAGUGCAGUAAAUCUGAAAAAUAGAUUUUAUUUUUAACCAGUGGUAUUGUGACAUCUUAUCUGGCAUAACCAAUUACAGCAAAAUUCAUGGAUAGAAACAAAAUAGCAGAUCUCUGCUUUUGGGUGCAGCAUCAUGCCCAGGCAGGCUGAGCACAGCACAGCACUGGCAGCAGGGAGUUUGUGCCCCAGGGGCUCCCUCAGAGGACAGACUCCAAUGAACCAUUCCCACUCACACACACAGACACACCCACACACACAACACCGAUAGUUUUUAAAAAUCUUUAGCAAUAUUUCUGCAUGAAAUCACACUGUAGCAUCUACACAGAAAAUGGCUGAUAAAAAUAAUCUUGCUGUAGGUUUACAAUAGUAUAUCUACAUUUUUAUUUGAAUACCCAGACUGCUGGCCCAGCAGAAAAGGGACGUUUUUUGUCUUGAUUUUGUUGGGCUGUGGAGAAUUUUAUCCUAGAGCACAACAGAGCUGCUCUCUUCAUCUCAGCCCAGACCUUUAUUGAACUUUUGGCCUGAAGAGAUCCCUGGGAAGUAGCCUAGGAAGAAUCAAUGGCUUUGUCAUCCACAUCCCAUCCCUUUGUGCUGCCUCUUCAAACAUGGGGCAAAAACACUACAAAAACACUCUCUGCCCCACAGGUAACAAGAAUACAAAAUACUGCAAAAGCCUUUCUCCUCACAUACACGGGUACAUUGCCCACACAGGAUGCCUGCAACAAAUUAAAGUCUAAAAAUGUUUCCUCCAGAAGCCCUAAAAUUGGGCUCCUGAGUUCCCCAGCUACAGAUGGAGCACACAAACAUGCUGAGAAACCUCCCUCCUGCCACUCUCUAACUCUGGGCACUUCACUCAUGCAGAGUCCUAGAAAAUACAAAAUAUUUGAACCACGUUUGUAUUCAAACAUACUCCCUUCUCAUGUUUCCUUGGGCAGAGAUCAACCUGCUAAGAAAUAGCCAAGAAGCUCUUAUGUGAGAGGAUAAAAAAAAACUUCUAGUAAAUGUUAGUUUUAUGUAUAUAAAUAUUUGUAUUUAUAGAUAUAGACAGUGAAAGGGUGAUUGUGUGUUUAUGCAUGCUUAUUUCUUUGCUUUGGGUUCCAAUACUUCUAAAAAAAAUCUCUUCAGGAAAUAACUUAAGUUCACAAGAUACUAUAGUCAUUUCUUUAAAGAACAUUUUUUACACUUGAUCUCACAAGAAACCUUUCCACCCAAGCUCUCCUCCUCUGCAGAGAAGAGGUCAGAACAAAGAAAAAGGUGCAUGUUUCUCUGUUGUUGGACACAACAUCCUUCCCUCGUUGAAGCCUCUAGGAUGGCAGGUAUUUCACAAGGAGCUGCAGCACAGGAGGAAGGGUGCUGUGAUUUUAUAGCACUGCCUGAGGUACUCAGCAAACGUUUCACUGAUGAUUGAACUGCCCCCAGUGCCAUCCCCGAAAAGUAAGGACAAAAAUCAAGCAGCUCUACAUGCACAUACAGCUACAACAUGCAAAAACACACCACCUUGUAGGAAACAGAAUACACAAACGUGUGGCUAGCAAGGAUCUUCCCCAACCUCUGGCUCCUGGAAGAUAAUGCUGAGAAGCCUCAGAACAAGAGGAGGAGGAAAGUGAAAAACACAGGAAUACCCAAUCCAGGGGUUGAAGUUGUUGCCUCAAAGUUACUUCCCAAUUACAUUGAGUUCAUGCCUUGCUACCUGGGAGCCUUCACUCAAGAACAGUGGGUCAGAUUUCCACCCCAGACUUCCUUUCCUCUCUCUCCCCAUUUAUUUAAGGCACAAACAUAUUUACAGUUUCAAACAUCUUUUCAUGUUCCAAGAAUCAGGCGCUGGAAGGCCUCUACACUCUUCUGUACCAGGAAGAUCUGGAUGUAAAUCAGACACCUGGCAUUGAACAAGAACAUCCCUCAACCCCACCUUCAGUCCUGAAGAAAACAGGGAACUCUUUAAGCCUAUAAACCAACUUUCAUUCUUUUUGAGGUUACUCAGUUGUAGGAGAAUUGAUAAAUGGCAAUGAUUGCAACCAAACCUUUAACUGUCACCUUCCUCACCUCACCCCAGCAGUGCAGACUGGUGGUGCACUGUUACUCUGGAAGAACUAAGUGCAGUCAGAACAGGUCUCCAGAGGCUUGCCCCAGGCUGUACACAGAAUACAAGAGCAUGCAGCAUGUUUACAUAGACUCAGCUUCCUU